AGCCGCGGUAAUACGGAGGGAGCUAGCGUUGUUCGGAAUUACUGGGCGUAAAGCGCGCGUAGGCGGCUAUUCAAGUCGGGGGUGAAAGCCCGGGGCUCAACCCCGGAACUGCCCUCGAAACUAGGUAGCUAGAAUCUUGGAGAGGUCAGUGGAAUUCCGAGUGUAGAGGUGAAAUUCGUAGAUAUUCGGAAGAACACCAGUGGCGAAGGCGACUGACUGGACAAGUAUUGACGCUCAUGCACGAAAGCGUGGGGAGCAAACA
rnacentral:rRNA from 1 species